rnacentral:lncRNA from 1 species
AGCUCUGCCCUCAAGUUAAGCGGACACUUCAGAUGACGUCUGAUGAGUUGACACUUGCAGGGCAUGGGAAGAACGAAUUUGUUUUAAAUGGACCGCCCUUGCCUGGAAAUGUGUCACUUGUUCGUCCCACGGUUGUGUUUUCAGUCAUCAUAGAACCACCGGUAGCUGUUGUGUGUGCUUUAUACACUACAGUAAAUUAUGAUUGCAUUUCCUAUCUUGGCUAAAAGACAACGCAUCUGCAGACAUCGAAUGCUAGCCAUCCGACAAAAUCUGGGCACUGAGGCACUGUUCCAGAUGGUCUUCAGGCGCUAUGGCCUUCUGGAGGAAAUCGUCUCCCACCGUGGCCCCCAAUUCACGUCAUGGUUAUGGAGAGGCUUCAUGGAGAAGCUGGGUGUCACGGUCAGCCUCACAACCGGGUACCGCCCUCAGUCCAACAGGCAGGUGGAAAGGAUGAACCAGGAGCUGGGGAGGUUCCUUAGGAGUCACUGCCAGGAUCUUCAUGUUUCUUAUUAUUAAACUCACCUUCUGCACCGGCUUGAAUUAUUUAGGCUAAAUUAUUAUUAUUUCAAUGCUAUAGCCUACCAUUUAAGAAAUCAAUUAUGAAGAGUUUGUGACACACUACAGGCUGUAACGAGCGCUCAGCAUUUCAACAACACAUCAACAACAGCACUUCAACAACAUGCCUAUACAUUUUGCAUUUAGUCUGUUUAAAAUGAAAAUGUAUUUAUUUGUAUUUUUUAUUAAAUAAUAUUGACAUUAAAAAUGCCUUAUUUGGCUAUACAGUAAUUCUACAGUGUCUUUGAAUUCACAUUUAGAAACACAAGUUUGGCCAGUCUUUGGUUUGAGGAUCAUGCAGUGAGCUGUACAUGCCUACACUGUAGUUUGAUCAUUAAGCCCAGCAGAUGCUUUUAUAUUCCCAUGCCCUAAUCACAGUCAACACAAAUCUAUGUUCUAACAAAAAUAUAAUGGAAUAAAACCGAAUAAAUUAGAAAAUUAUAGUUUCCCAAAAGAAAAAAGUUACAACUGCAUAUAGGCCUACCUGAUGAUAUGCGGCUGCAGUGUUAACCUUUUUCUU